GCCGGCGACCAUACCACGUUGACAGCACCGGUUCUCGUCCGAUCACCGCACUUAAGCAACGUUGGGCCCGGUCAGUACUUGCAUGGGUGACCGGCUGGGAAUACCGGGUGUCGCCGGCU
rnacentral:rRNA from 1 species